CCGUAACAUCGAAGCAACCGGCGAAAGGAAGAAAGCGAAAAAGCAAACAAGUUAGUGUGAGUUUUCUCUUCCAAGAAUGGAGGCGCGUUGGCUGGCAAACGGGGAAGGGGUUUUAGUUCGUUUUUUCUGCCCUUCCUCCCUCCGCUCGAGAUGAAAGAUACUAAAAGCCUGCUGCCCAGGGCUGGUAAAAGCGUCAGGAUGCCGAGAGCACGGGGGGAAACAGCGGUCUCGGCUCGUUUAAUCCGUGCCGUGUAUAGCACAACACGGGCUUAAAUUUAAGCAUGACUAGAGGUUAAAGCCACCUAACCAUGUGUGUGAAAGCGUGUAAGCGGGGAAGCCUUUUAAAGCUCGUGCAAUUGUAAAUGGCUUACUCUAGCUAACGACGAGUGAAGGGGGAACGAGCCCAGAUAAUGGAAUUGCAUCAAACGGAUAAAUUCUGCUGCGAGCUGAAAUGUUUUCCAUAAAUAGAGCAGCACAUUCCCAGCGUGUGCGGAAGGGGGUGGGAUAAAACCUGAUGCGAAAAAUCAGAUAAUGACAUCAGAUUGGCGCACAGAGGGAUCCCGCAGCCAUUCCGCAAGGGAAAAAAGGGAAAACGAUUUAAACGGUCCAGCAAAUCGUAACACUCGUGUUGGUGCGGUGGACAAACACUUCCACUUCCCGUUGGUCAAAUUUCCACACCAGAACGCUGUGUCCGAUGCACGAGAGAGAGAGAGAAAGAGAGAGAGA